ACAACAGCCAUCGUUUACUAGAAAAUAGUUAUCCUACUUGGAUAACUGUGGCAAUUCUAGAGCUAAUACAUGCGAAAAAACUCAGACCUUACGGAAUGAGUGCAUUUAUUAGAAUAAAAACCAAUCGGGUGUAAAAAGCCCGUUAUUUGGUGAAUCUGAAUAACUUUGCCGAUCGCACGGUCCUAGUACCGGCGACAUAUCUUUCAAGUGUCUGCCUUAUCAACUUUCGAUGGUAGGUUAUACGCCUACCAUGGUAGUAACGGGUAACGGAGAAUAAGGGUUCGACUCCGGAGAGGGAGCCUGAGAAACGGCUACCACAUCCAAGGAAGGCAGCAGGCGCGCAAAUUACCCACUUCCAGAACGGAGAGGUAGUGACGAAAAAUAACGAGACAGUCCUCUUCGAGGUCUGUCAUCGGAAUGGGUACAAUUUAAAUCCUUUAACGAGGAUCUAUUGGAGGGCAAGUCUGGUGCCAGCAGCCGCGGUAAUUCCAGCUCCAAUAGCGUAUAUUAAAGUUGUUGCGGUUAAAACGCUCGUAGUUGGAUCUGCGGUUUUCGGAGAACGGUCCCCCGAAAGGGUGGUCACUGUUACUCCAAGCCUAUAUAUUCAGUCCGUUCUACGGUGCUCUUAACCGAGUGCCUAGAUCGACUGGAACGUUUACUUUGAAAAAAUUAGAGUGCUCAAAGCAGGCGGAAUAGCCUGAAUAAGGUGCAUGGAAUAAUGGAAUAGGACCUCGGUUCUAUUUUGUUGGUUUUCGGAAUCUGAGGAAAUAAUCAAGAACGAAAGUUAGAGGUUCGAAGGCGAUCAGAUACCGCCCUAGUUCUAACCGUAAACGAUGACAACCAGCGAUUAGUCGGCGUUAAUAUAAGACCCGACUAGCAGCUUCCGGGAAACCAAAGUUUUUCGUUUCCGGGGGAAGUAUGGUUGCAAAGCUGAAACUUAAAGGAAUUGACGGAAGGGCACCACCAGGAGUGGAGCCUGCGGCUUAAUUUGACUCAACACGGGAAAACUCACCCGGCCCGGACACCGUAAGGAUUGACAGACUGAGAGCUCUUUCUUAAUUCGGUGGGUGGUGGUGCAUGGCCGUUCUUAGUUGGUGGAGCGAUUUGUCUGGUUAAUUCCGAUAACGAACGAGACUCUGGCCUAUUAAAUAGACGGUAUAUCUAGAAAAAGUAUACCGCGCUUCUUAGAGGGACAACCGGCUUCUAGCCGCGUGAAAUAGAGCAAUAACAGGUCUGUGAUGCCCUUAGAUGUCCGGGGCUGCACGCGCGCUACACUGAAAGAAUCAGUAUGCGCCGUCGCCUAGUUCGGAAGAACCGGGUAACCCUAGCAAAUUCUUUCGUGCUUGGGAUAGGGAAUUGCAAUUAUUUCCCUUAAACGAGGAAUUCCCAGUAAAUGCGGGUCAUAAGCUCGCGUUGAUUACGUCCCUGCCCUUUGUACACACCGCCCGUCGCUACUACCGAUUGGAUGACUUAGUGAGGUCUUAGGACCGAGACGAAGGUGCCUUAACUGGUGCCUACGC
rnacentral:rRNA from 1 species